GAUGAACGCUGGCGGCGUGCCUAAUACAUGCAAGUCGAGCGAACAGACGAGGAGCUUGCUCCUCUGACGUUAGCGGCGGACGGGUGAGUAACACGUGGAUAACCUAUCUAUAAGACUGGGAUAACUUCGGGAAACCGGAGCUAAUACCGGAUAAUAUAUUGAACCGCAUGGUUCAAUAGUGAAAGACGGUUUUGCUGUCACUUAUAGAUGGAUCCGCGCCGCAUUAGCUAGUUGGUAAGGUAACGGCUUACCAAGGCAACGAUGCGUAGCCGACCUGAGAGGGUGAUCGGCCACACUGGAACUGAGACGCGGUCCAGACUCCUACGGGAGGCAGCAGUAGGGAAUCUUCCGCAAUGGGCGAAAGCCUGACGGAGCAACGCCGCGUGAGUGAUGAAGGUCUUCGGAUCGUAAAACUCUGUUAUUAGGGAAGAACAAAUGUGUAAGUAACUAUGCACGUCUUGACGGUACCUAAUCAGAAAGCCACGGCUAACUACGUG
rnacentral:rRNA from 1 species